UACGAAGGGGGCUAGCGUUGUUCGGAAUUACUGGGCGUAAAGGGUCUGUAGGUGGCCAACUAAGUCAGACGUGAAAUCCCUCAGCUUAACUGGGGAACUGCGUCUGAUACUGGAUGGCUUGAGUGUGGGAGAGGAAUGCGGAAUUCCAGGUGUAGCGGUGAAAUGCGUAGAUAUCUGGAGGAACACCGGUGGCGAAGGCGGCAUUCUGGACCAUAACUGACACUGAGAGACGAAGGCCAGGGGAGCAAACGGG
rnacentral:rRNA from 1 species